AAGUGCCUCGCAAGAGGAGCCUGGAGACAGGUGCUGCAUGGCUGUCGUCAGCUCGUGUCGUGAGAUGUUGGGUUAAGUCCCGCAACGAGCGCAACCCUUGUCUUUAGUUGCCAUCAUUCAGUUGGGCACUCUAAAGAGACUGCCGGUGGUCAAACCGGAGGAAGGUGGGGAUGACGUCAAGUCCUCAUGGCCUUUAUGACCAGGGCUACACACGUACUACAAUGGCCGGUACAAAGGGCAGCCACUUAGCGAUAAGGAGCCAAUCCCGUAAAGCCGGUCUCAGUCCGGAUUGGAGUCUGCAACUCGACUCCAUGAAGUUGGAAUCGCUAGUAAUCGCAGAUCAGCACGCUGCGGUGAAUACGUUCCCGGGCCUU
rnacentral:rRNA from 1 species